UCUAAAAAAAAUUUGAUUGGUAAGGUACUUUAAAGAAGUCAUUUUUAUUUUCCCCAGCAAAUGCGAAAAAUCAGGAAAAACAUGGCAAAAACGGGAAAAUCGGUACAACAUUAAAUAAAUAUUAUUAUUAAAAUGUAUAAAACUUUAUUUUAACACCUUUUUUACCCCUACUCCAUAUACCUUAAAUAAGUGCAGAAAAGAACAGGAAUUAAAUUUACUUAAAAUCCUCUAAGAUGAUUGCUGGUUCAUGCAUGAUAGAAAAAAUCACUCUGUAUAAUGUUGACAAAGCAUCACUAUCAUUUAAACUCCACU